CCGGCUUCCAACUUUUGGUCGUUCUUCGGGGUGAGACGUAGUUCCCCAGAACCGCCGCCUCCCGGGACCAGGGUCAGGGUAGGGGAUCCGGACUCGACCUGGCGCACUGAGGUGACGUACUGAGGUGGAGCGACCUCGUGUUACCGUCGUUCUUGCUUGAAGUCAAAGGAGUGGGGCCCUGACUGGGAAGGACUCUUCGGCGUGGAGAUUUGCUGGGACCCCGACUGGGAACUCGUCCCAACCCUGGAGUAAGCCUUGGAGGCUUCGGGGAUUUUAAUGUCGUAGCUGCCGAGAGUUUUGAGUUCCGGGGGAGAAGGGAAGCUAGGAGCUCACUGCUUAGGAACAGAUCUAGACUCUGAGUGGAGAGAUGAAGGAGUAAAAGAAGCCUUAUUUCUGUGAGAUUCAUCACUGUCAGGGUGAGAAGAUGCAACAACAUCGCUUCUCAACCUUCUGGCUAAGAGAGAAUAUAUCCUUUAUGAGUUUAGAAGGCAAGGAACCUUUCAGAACACUGUUGAGAUGAUGUACACGCGUACACAACACCACUGGACUUCUAUUUAGAGCCAAAGGGCCCCAAAAUGCAAGAGAAAUGAUGCUGGCAAUGUGGAUCUGCCAAAGAGAAGCGGUCGGGCUUAAAGUAUUAAGUGCUUCCUUUCAGAAUUAUCUCACAUCAUCACAAGAAGAAGGGGUAGAGUAUGGACUGAAGCUUCAACGAACUGUAAGCCAAAUAAACCCUUUCCCAUCAACUUUGGGUGCUAGGCAUUUUGACUCAGCGAUUAGAGAAAAGUAACUAACAUGGAAAUUUGGUACCAUGAGUGGGAUGGUUGCUGUGACAUUACCUGGCCAUGUGACUCAAAAGCCUUUGGAACUAGCUUGUGGGAAGGUGAAGAGUUAGGAAAGAUUUGGAGAAGUCAGCUACUCUAGGACAGCUGGAAUGCCUUAGGCUGUUCUGUAUGGAAGAGUCUAGUCAGAGCUCAGAAGACCAGAAGGCUGGUAAAGACCAUGCUCAGGAGAUUUCUACUGGAAAGGAUCAUAUUGGCUGUUGGACUCCAGCCAAUGUUAUGGCUUGGCAGAAGGUUUGCUUGCAUUUUGUUCAUGUCUGGAGAUUUUACCUGAGACUAAGAUAAGGGGCAGUGAACUAAUUAAUCUUGCAGAAGAAAUUUCAAGGCAGUUGAAUAUUGAGGUCGUGGCAUGGCUACUGU